GCAUAACGCGAAGAACCUUACCCAGGCUUGACAUGCUUUCGACCGGCGUUGAAAGACGCCUUUCCUUCGGGACGGAAGCACAGAUGCUGCAUGGCUGUCGUCAGCUCGUGCCGUGAGGUGUUCGGUUAAGUCCGGCAACGAGCGCAACCCGUACUGCCAGUUACCAUCAAGUAAUGUUGGGGACUCUGGCGGGACUGCCCGUGUCAAGCGGGAGGAAGGCGCGGAUGACGUCAAGUCCGUAUGGCUCUUACACCUGGGGCCGCAAACGUGCUACAAUGGCGGGUACAAUGGGCUGCUGCAUCGCGAGAUGUGGCGAACCUCCAAAACCCGCCCCAGUUCGGAUUGCAGCCUGCAACUCGGCUGCAUGAAGUCGGAAUCGCUAGUAAAGGGACAUCAGCUACGGUCCCUUGAAUACGUUCCCGGGUCUUGUACACACCG
rnacentral:rRNA from 1 species